UACGGGGGGGGCAAGCGUUGUUCGGAAUUACUGGGCGUAAAGGGCUCGUAGGUGGCCAACUAAGUCAGACGUGAAAUCCCUCGGCUUAACCGGGGAACUGCGUCUGAUACUGGAUGGCUUGAGUUCGGGAGAGGGAUGCGGAAUUCCAGGUGUAGCGGUGAAAUGCGCAGAUAUCAGGAGGAACACCGAUGGCGAAGGCAGUUCUCUGGGCCGUAACUGACGCUGAGGAGCGAAAGCGUGGGGAGCGAACAGG
rnacentral:rRNA from 1 species